rnacentral:rRNA from 1 species
AAUGAACGCUGGCGGCGCGCCUAAUACAUGCAAGUCGAGCGAGAAGACGUAGCAAUACGUUUGUAAAGCGGCGAACGGGUGAGGAAUACAUGGGUAACCUACCCUCGAGUGGGGAAUAACUAGCCGAAAGGUUAGCUAAUACCGCGUACGCUUCUUGGACUUCGGUUCAGGGAGGAAAGCGAUGCCGAGGGUAUCGCGCUCUUGGAUGGGCUCAUGUCCUAUCAGCUUGNGGUGAGGUAACGGCUCACCAAGGCUUCGACGGGUAGCUGGUCUGAGAGGACGAUCAGCCACACUGGCACUGCGACACGGGCCAGACUCCUACGGGAGGCAGCAGUAAGGAAUAUUGCGCAAUGGGCGAAAGCCUGACGCAGCGACGCCGCGUGGGGGAUGAAGGUCUUCGGAUUGUAAACCCCUUUCGGGAGGGAAGAUGGAAUGGGGUAACCCAUUCGGACGGUACCUCCAGAAGCAGCCACGGCUAACUUCGUGCCA